GUGAUUAUGUCGAAACAGUUCCUCUAAAGUGACAAUUCAUAAAAAUUACUCUAUUUCAAAAGUACGACUGACCGUAAAAUGACCUGGCUACAUCCCAUUAUCUAGCUGAAGUGCUUACUUUAAGCUACAUACAAGAAUGCAUAUGUAUAAUUCCAUGAUUAGGUAAAAUUUGUAUCAAUCUAGUGUCUUUUAUUAGCAAUUUAAAGACAGGCAUUUAUUAAAGGUUUCUUCUUUCUGUUCAGCUUGUUUUUAUAUGGUAGUGG
rnacentral:lncRNA from 1 species